rnacentral:tRNA from 1 species
UCCCUGCAGGCUCAGAUCGUAGAGAAUCUGCCUGUAGUGCAGGAGACCCGGGUUCAACCCCUGGGUUGGGAA